UACGAAGGGGGGCUAGCGUUGUUCGGAUUUACUGGGCGUAAAGCGCACGUAGGCGGGUCGUUAAGUCAGGGGGUGAAAUCCCGGAGCUCAACUCCGGAACUGCCUUUGAUACUGGCGACCUUGAGGCUGGAAGAGGUUAGUGGAAUUCCCAGUGUAGAGGUGAAAUUCGUAGAUAUUGGGAAGAACACCAGUGGCGAAGGCGGCUAACUGGUCCAGAUCUGACGCUGAGGUGCGAAAGCGUGGGGAGCAAACAGG
rnacentral:rRNA from 1 species